GCACCUAUCAGUGGUUAAGGAGUCUGAUUCGAAUCUAUGCACUUCUGCAUGGGCGAUUAUCAUAUGGGUUCUGCCCGCAGAGGUUCAAAUCCUCUUGUAGACG
rnacentral:tRNA from 1 species